AAUCGCUCUUGGCUAAAGCAACGUUGUAAAACUUCUUACAAAAUGUACGCUCGUCAGGUAAUGAAUAUUGCAAUUAUCCUAAUUAUCGCAUUGGGUUCUGGAGAGUUCGUCGAGUGCAUGUUUUGUCCACCGGCUUGUCAGAAAGUGUGGCAUGAAGGUUGUCCCGACAUAUGUGGCAUGUAGUUUCCACAUGCUCAUUUGAGGAAUUAUUUACUCACCUCCCAGAGGGAUUCACAAUUUCGGUUUAACUCUGAAUUAAAUGGAUAUCUGUAAUCUAUACAAACCCGUGUGUAUAUUACCAAACCAGGGCUUCAGUAAAUAUGAAUGAAUUCACCGGAUUUCGUUUGGAUUACAUGGAUUCGCACAUUCAACCACAGUCCCUCGUUAUCCCAUCAAUAACGCCCUUUAAUCUACUUGGAAAUGUAAUACCAUUGAAUUAAUGAAAGAUUCAUUUAAAAGAAAAAUAAACUAGAAUACGAAUGUCCUGGAAUUGAAA